GUACCACCGCCCGUCGCUGUCCGGGAACUGCACUGUUUCGAGUAAGAGUGGGGACUGCUAUAUCGGGGCUUUCGGGCUCUGGUAUGAUGGAAACCAUUUUAAUCGCAAUGGCUUGAACCGGGCAAAAGUCGUAACAAGGUAUCUGUAGGUGAACCUGCAGAUGGAUCAUCG
rnacentral:rRNA from 1 species